rnacentral:rRNA from 1 species
UACGGAGGAGGCAAGCGUUAUCCGGAAUUAUUGGGCGUAAAGCGUCCGUAGGUGGUUCACCAAGUCUGCUGUCAAAGGGUGGGGCUUAACCUCAUAAAGGCAGUGGAAACUGGUGAGCUAAAGUGCGGUAGGGGUAAGGGGAAUUCCCAGUGUAGCGGUGAAAUGCGUAGAGAUUGGGAAGAACAUCGGUGGCGAAAGCGCCUUACUGGGCCUGCACUGACACUGAGGGACGAAAGCUAGGGGAGCGAAAGGG